rnacentral:rRNA from 1 species
CAGUAGCCGCGGUAAUACGGAGGGGGCUAGCGUUGUUCGGAAUUACUGGGCGUAAAGCGCACGUAGGCGGCUUGGUAAGUUAGAGGUGAAAGCCCGGAGCUCAACUCCGGAAUUGCCUUUAAGACUGCCGAGCUAGUAGGUGAGGGAGGUAAGUGGAAUUCCGAGUGUAGAGGUGAAAUUCGUAGAUAUUCAGAAGAACACCAGUGGCGAAGGCGGCUUACUGGCUCAUUCUAGACGCUGAGGUGCGAAAGCGUGGGGAGCAAACAGGAUUAGAUACCCCCGUAGUCCCUGUCUCUUAUAC